rnacentral:snRNA from 1 species
CACCAAACUAAGGCUUUGAA